UGCCAAUGGCAUCGGGGGGCAUGCCUGUUCGAGCGUCAUUUCACCACUCAAGCCUCGCUUGGUAUUGGGCAACGCGGUCCGCCGCGUGCCUCAAAUCGACCGGCUGGGUCUUCUGUCCCCUAAGCGUUGUGGAAACUAUUCGCUAAAGGGGGCUCGGGAGGCUACGCCGUAAAACAACCCCAUUUCUAAGGUUGACCUCGGAUCAGGUAGGGAUACCCGCUGAACUUAAGCAUAUCAAUAAGCGGAGGAAAGAGAAGCGUAUCAAUAAGCAGAUGAAUGUUUUUUAAUUACUUAAUGAUCUGAGUGUGCGGAGAUGAAUGUAUGA
rnacentral:rRNA from 1 species